UACAACUUUCAACAACGGAUCUCUUGGCUCUCGCAUCGAUGAAGAACGCAGCGAAAUGCGAUAAGUAAUGUGAAUUGCAGAAUUCAGUGAAUCAUCGAAUCUUUGAACGCAUCUUGCGCUCC
rnacentral:rRNA from 1 species